UACGAGGGGUGCAAGCGUUGCUCGGAUUUACUGGGCGUAAAGGGCAUGCAGGCGGUCCGACACGUUUUGUGUGACAGCGGGUGGCUUAACUACCCGAGGAUACGAAAGACGGUUGGACUUGAGGACUCGAGAGGGACACGGAAUUCCGGGUGGAGUGGUGAAAUGCGUAGAGAUCCGGAGGAACACCGAAGGCGAAGGCAGUGUCCUGGCGAGUGACUGACGCUGAGGUGCGAAAGCCAGGGGAGCGAACGGG
rnacentral:rRNA from 1 species